rnacentral:rRNA from 1 species
UGGGGAAUAUUGGUCAAUGGGCGCAAGCCUGAACCAGCAAUGCCGCGUGAGUGAUGAAGGCCUUCGGGUUGUAAAGCUCUGUCGGGAGGGACGAAAAAGGGCAGGUAACGCUGCCACUUGACGGUACCUCCAAAGGAAGCACCGGCUAACUCUGUGCCAGCAGCCGCGGUAAUACAGAGGGUGCAAGCGUUGUUCGGAAUUACUGGGCGUAAAGCGCGUGUAGGCUGCAACGUAAGUCGGAUGUGAAAGCCCUUGGCUUAACCAAGGAAGUGCAUCCGAUACUGCGUCGCUUGAGUAUCGGAGGGGUCGGCGGAAUUCCCGGUGUAGAGGUGAAAUUCGUAGAUAUCGGGAGGAACACCUGUGGCGAAGGCGGCCGACUGGACGAUUACUGACGCUGAGA